GUGGGGAAUAUUGGACAAUGGGGGGAACCCUGAUCCAGCCAUGCCGCGUGUGUGAAGAAGGCCUUUUGGUUGUAAAGCACUUUAAGCGAGGAGGAGGCUACCGAGAUUAAUACUCUUGGAUAGUGGACGUUACUCGCAGAAUAAGCACCGGCUAACUCUGUGCCAGCAGCCGCGGUAAUACAGAGGGUGCAAGCGUUAAUCGGAUUUACUGGGCGUAAAGCGCGCGUAGGUGGCCAAUUAAGUCAAAUGUGAAAUCCCAGAGCUUAACUUGGGAAUUGCAUUCGAUACUGGUUGGCUAGAGUAUGGGGGAGGAUGGUAGAAUUCCAGGUGUAGCGGUGAAAUGCGUAGAGAUCUGGAGGAAUACCGAUGGCGAAGGCAGCCAUCUGGCCUAAUACUGACACUGAGGUGCGAAAGCAUGGGGAGCAAACAGGAUUAGAUACCCUUGUAGUCC
rnacentral:rRNA from 1 species